AGAGACUGAAGCAGAAAAGGCACCAAGUUCUGAGAAUCUCUGACCCUUUCUUAUAAUAACCCUUAUCUUAUAAGAGUCUGUCUUAUAAUAAAAUUCAUUAUGGUGAUGAUGAACAAAGAGAAAUCAUAUUAACUCUCAUUCAAAGUAAAACUUAUGUAUAAAUAAUGUGUGCUUUAAUGGAUAAGAAGUAAAAACUAUGCUUAACCAAUUGCUACUUUGUCAUAAAUAUUCACAAGUGACAAAAAACAAAGGAAGAUAAAUAGUGACUACAAACUUCUAUCCAAAUGCCACCUUUACUAUUUUUCUUCAACAGCAUACCCCAAGGAACAUUGGCUCUGCUGUUAAUGUAUAUAAAAUGUUGCUGACAUUCUGCAAGAUUUGGGCUAAUUUAAUAAUGCCUGAUGGACUUUAUUUCAUGUAAAGAUGAUGUAAUAAUACAUUAGUAAAUGAGUCUUCUCUUAUUACCUUCAAUCACAGAACUGAUGGGCCAUUAAAUGGAAAGGGGUAUAGUAGUUUUACUGGAAGUACGGAUAGAUCAUUAUGCAAUUGAAUUUUUAAUUGAUCCAGCACAGAGGCUAAUUGGACCAUUUUUAUUAAAUUAAUGACAGGCAUUACCUUUUAAACUGCCUAGCAAUGUGAGAAUUCUUUGUCAUUAUGAUAGUUUUUAUCUGAUACUUCUUAUACAAAUAUUUGAACAGCUUAAAUUAAAAUUUCAGAACCUUAAAAUAUAGCAGUGUUAGUUUUUACAUCCCAGAAGUUGGAGGCUUUAUCUAAGUUCAUUAUCAAUCCUUUAGGAACAAGCAGUUUAAAAUUCAGUUAGCUGUUUAUAUAUAGGCAUUGAAUUCAAACGUGAUGAGAGUACGAAUAUUUGGAAAAUGUGACAAAUGUAUGUACACCUAUUGAAAACUUAAAAAUAAGUAAAGCAAAAAAUGUAUAAAGUUAGAAAUCAAUUUGUGUAAAUGAAGAUGUGAAGAUCUUAAGUGCUCAGCCAUUAAGAGUACUGUUUGUUCUUCCAGAGAUCUCUGGUUUAUAGCAGCCCAUACACAACACAUUCUCUGGUCUCUGCGCACUCGAGUGGCACACAGGCAUAUGUGCAGGCAAAACACCAAAUAGAUGUAAAAUAAACAUUUCAAAAAAUAAACAAGAUUUGGAGAUCUUUUUGUCAGCAAUGGACAAGAUAAUGGUACAAAAUCUUAGUAAUAGAACUAAAUUAACUCAACAACUUGUCCUUAUUGGUAUUUACAGAACUCUCUAUCUAACAGUUGAGAAUGUAAGUUUCUUUUAUGUUAGUCAGUAGUUAUGAAUCAUAUACCAGCUCAUAAAAUCAGUGCCAAUGAAGUGCAAAGUUUGAAAAUGCACAGCAGGUGUUCUCUGACCAUGUGAUGGUAGAAGGCAACAAAAAAAUCAUUAAACCAUAAAUGUUCAGCAACCAUACUAAAUCCCAUACAGUGGAAAAGAGAAAGAUAGCUUGAAAGGUUGUUUUCUGACCUCCCCAUUCACUCACAUGCCAACUAUAUAUAGGCACAAAACCACAUAAUAAUAGCAGAGUAAUUCUAAAACUCAUGAAACAUCAAGGUAUAAGUUUAACAGAAUGUAAGACUUUAAUAGUGAAAAUAUGCAACACAACACAACUGGAAGAAAUAAAAAAUCUGAACAGAGAUAGCAUGCUCAUGAAUAUGAAGAGUAUUAUUGACAUUUUAUUUCUUCCUAAAUUGGGCUAUAAAUUUAAUAUGAAUCCAAUCAGAGUUCCAACAAACUUUAUAGAUACUGACAAGAAUAUUUAAAAGUUUGUUUUCAAAGAUAGAAGAUAGCAGUGAGAUGAUUCAGCAGGUAAUAUAUUAGCUGCACAGCCUGACAACCUGAGUUUAGUCCCUGGAAUCCACAAAGUUGACAGAAAUGACUUCCUACAAGUUGUUCUUUGACCUCUAUAUAUGCUCACAUGUUCCUGUGUGCACACACAACAAAUAAAUUAAUUAGCUAAUUUUAAAAUUAAAG
rnacentral:lncRNA from 1 species